UACGUAGGGUCCGAGCGUUGUCCGGAAUUACUGGGCGUAAAGAGCUCGUAGGUGGUUUGUCGCGUUGUUCGUGAAAACUCACAGCUUAACUGUGGGCGUGCGGGCGAUACGGGCAGACUUGAGUACUGCAGGGGAGACUGGAAUUCCAGGUGUAGCGGUGGAAUGCGUAGAUAUCUGGAAGAACACCGGUGGCGAAGGCGGCUCGCUGGGCCAGUUCUGACACUCAUCCGCGAAAGCGUGGGGAGCAAACAGG
rnacentral:rRNA from 1 species